rnacentral:sRNA from 4 species
GCGAAGCUCAAACCCACACACGUAUCGACACGAUGACCUGGGUGCCGAAGGCUUUGUGCCAGAGGUUGGAUCAUUGGGAUGCGUGGAGGCCUAACC